GUUCGUGCACGUACUGUUGUGGGUGGUUGUGUGUGAUGUUUCUGGGAAUGUGUCACGGAGAAAACGGUUUGUGGAGACAACGAUUACAAACAACGGAAGCUGUGUGUCAAAUUAAGUCGAUUUUAGAGGUCACCACAGCGGAAUGAACCACCAACUAUUAAAGGAAUUUACGCAGCAGAUGCCCAGCCAGCUGCAACCCGGUCACGGUCACAUAAUGAGGACAAGGAGGGUUAUCUCUUUUCAUCAAUUUAUUCAAACUAGUAAUGCAUUAAAACCUGGAGAAGCAGCUUUGUUCAUCCACAGGUUUGAGAGAAACAUCCACAGGUUAAACGUUCGUUAAAGAGGGGGAACAUCCAUGGAAGAAGGACAGUCAGGAAAAAGACGGCAGCGCAGCCCAUCUGGAUGACAGCUGGGCCACUUGUUAUAAACAAAACCAUGAACAG
rnacentral:lncRNA from 1 species